rnacentral:rRNA from 1 species
GACAGAGGGUGCAAACGUUGUUCGGAAUUACUGGGCGUAAAGCGAGUGUAGGCGGUUCUCAAAGUCGGAUGUGAAAGCCCCGGGCUCAACCCGGGAAGUGCACCCGAUACUGGAGCUAGAGUGUCGGAGAGGUUGGGUGGAAUUCUCGGGUGUAGAGGUGAAAUUCGUAGAUAUCGAGAGGAACACCGGUGGCGAAGGCGGCCAACUGGACGAACACUGACGCUGAGACUCGAAAGCGUGGGGAGCAAACAGG